AAGAAAUUUAAUAAUUUUGAAAAUGGGUUUUUUUGUUUUGGCAAGAGCAUGAGAGCUUUUACUGGGCAAGAAGACAAGAGAUGGAGAGUCCAGCCGGGCCUGCGCUUAAGUGCGCGGUCUUGCUAGGCUUGUAAGUUUCUUUCUUGCUAUUCCAAACGGUGAGAGAUUUCUGUGCUUUUGUUGUAGGACAAUUAAAACCGUUUCAAUACAACACACUGUGGAGUUUUCAUAUCUUUGCAACUUUUUCUUUGGGCAUUCGAGCAAUCGGGGCCCAGAGGUAACAAACACAAACAAUUUUAUUUAUUCAUUAAAUUUUUGUCAAAAACAAGAAUUUUCGUAACUGGAAAUUUUAAAAUAUUAA
rnacentral:rRNA from 2 species